rnacentral:rRNA from 1 species
CUGGACGAAUGCCGUGAAACCAUGCGAAUGCUUUGAAACGCCAAUGGCGCUCGAGGCCUCGGCCAAGAAGCAUGGUGCUGCCUCAGCGUGCGGCUACUACCCUCAACUAAGUUUCCUACACACAUGUAGGGGAUGCCGGUUGGAUCUGGCCGUCCGGUUUGCCUUUUAGGUUGCCGGUCAGCUGAAAUACAUUCACGCUCUGGGAGCUGCUUUCCUUCCGAGGAGAGGCGAGUUCCGAUUUGGUAGGUGACCUUUGCCGGUUGCAUGCCUUCGUUGCCCGCUAAGCUUCCCAGUAUGCGUUGUGCAGGACGCCUUUUGGCUUUCGACCUGAGGUCAGGCAAGAACACCCGCUGAACUUAAGCAUAUCAAUAAGCGGAGGAAAAGAAACUAACUAGGAUUCCCUUAGUAGCGGCGAGCGAACCGGGAUCAGCCCAACUUGUAAAUCAUUAGCCUUUGGCUAAUUGAAUUGUAGUCUCAAGAUGCGAUCUCUGCAGCUAGCAGUGCCCAAUUUUCCUUGGAAAAGGGAGUCAGAGAGGGUGAGAACCCCGUCGGCACUUGCCUCAGCUGCUCCACGAGGCGUUUUCUCAGAGUCGGGUUGCUUGGGAAUGCAGCCCUAAGUAGGUGGUAAUUCCCAUCUAAGGCUAANACUGACGGGAGACCGAUAGCGAACAAGUACCGUGAGGGAAAGAUGAAAAGAACUUUGAAAAGAGAGUCAAAAGUGCCUGAAAAUUGUUGAGGGGGGAAGGAAUUUGGAAGCCGUUUGGUGCGCCCGGGGCCUUAGUUU